CUCUCUGAUAAUCAGAUCCGCAUGAAGCUGCUGCUGCUCGGUCGGACUCUACGCCCGUCAAGAAGUUUGAAGUUUUGGAAACAACGGAGACUUUUAGAGUCAUUUAAAAAGUGUAGCUGUUCAGUCUUGUCUUGUUUUUCUCUACUUCACCGUCCCGGACCCACGGGGGACCGAGGAGUUUCUCCAGACGGGACCGAAACUCUUCGCCUAGCCGUUAGGAUGGAACUUUAACGAACAGUUUUUUUUUGAUCCGUCUCCAUGGAAACGGAAGCCCCGCCCAAAUCCUCAGAGAUCAGAGACGAUCUCACUCAUCUGAGAGAGACAUCGUGGACUGUCAGUGAUCGACAAUCAAACAGCCUUCAUGGAGACGUGUCCAAAACACUGAGAUGGAGGAGAUUCUCUUUGAGAUACAACACCAGAGAGUCCUGGCCAAGACAGCAGCAUACAAGAGUUUCAGACAGAGAACAAAAGACAGACG